rnacentral:rRNA from 1 species
GAUGAACGCUGGCGGCGUGCCUAAUACAUGCAAGUCGAGCGAACAGACGAGGAGCUUGCUCCUCUGACGUUAGCGGCGGACGGGUGAGUAACACGUGGAUAACCUACCUAUAAGACUGGGAUAACUUCGGGAAACCGGAGCUAAUACCAGAUAAUAUAUUGAACCGCAUGGUUCAAUAGUGAAAGACGGUUUUGCUGUCACUUAUAGAUGGAUCCGCGCCGCAUUAGCUAGUUGGUAAGGUAACGGCUUACCAAGGCAACGAUGCGUAGCCGACCUGAGAGGGUGAUCGGCCACACUGGAACUGAGACACGGUCCAGACUCCUACGGGAGGCAGCAGUAGGGAAUCUUCCGCAAUGGGCGAAAGCCUGACGGAGCAACGCCGCGUGAGUGAUGAAGGUCUUCGGAUCGUAAAACUCUGUUAUUAGGGAAGAACAAAUGUGUAAGUAACUAUGCACGUCUUGACGGUACCUAAUCUGAAAGCCACGGCUAACUACGUG